GCACUCACCUUGGCAGCACAUAUACUAAAACUGGAACAAUACAGAGAAGGUUAGCAUGGCCCCUGAACACGGAUGACACACAAAUUUGUGAAGUGUUUCAUACUUUU
ensembl:snRNA U6 U6 spliceosomal RNA